rnacentral:lncRNA from 1 species
ACUGUCACCAAAUAUAAGCACCAAACAUAAGCAGAAAUAAUUAGUACUGAUAAUGUACAACAAAGAUAAAAAAAAAAAAAAAAAAAUUACUUGCAUAUUAUUGUCCCCAAUAGAAAUAAAUCUUGAAAAAUAUAAAUUUAACGGAAAACUGAUGGCAAAAUGACUAAAAUGGAUAAAUCCAAAUCCCUCAAGCUCGAGCAAUCAAACAAGUUAUAUAAAUUCAUUUUGCUCACGGCUGACGUUCGAAUAUGUUAAACUGCUUAAACUCAUCUUAAACUGCCUUCCAAAGAUGUUGUACAGGUUCAUCUUAUUCGUACUAAAUAAAUAAAAAGAAACGAGAAAUGAAAGGGCUUUUAGGCUUCACCUUCUUCUACUGACCGAAUGAACUUCUUCUUCCGUCGACUGUCGAAUGAACUUCACCAGUUCAGAGAGUUCACGAUUCAGUGCUAAGUGGUCUACGCCUUCUUCUUCCAAAAAGAUUCCCCUGCUGCCUAUUGUGCUCUCGUUGCGGCUGCGUCGUUGAUGGUGUCGAUGGAAGGAAGUCGGCUCCACGUCAAGGGCUCAAAGAGACGAGAGAGAGAGAUUCUGGUGGUGAGAGUGAGAGAAUGGCCGUGCUUACUGUCUCGCAGAUCGUAGACGAGAGAGCGAGAGUGAGA